rnacentral:lncRNA from 1 species
AGAAUUCCAAUUGAAGAUUAAAGGGAUUCCCCAUUGAGGAUUGAAGCUAGAAGAUUAAAGCGACGAUUGGAGCAAGAUCGAUUCAUCGUCUCCUCGUCAAGAUGGUGGUUAGGUCGAAUUCUGAUUUGUCUUCUUCUAUAAUCAUGAGUAGCUAAUUCUUUAGAGUUUCUUGGUUGAGAUGUAGGAUUUGAGCUAUGAUACUCUCCCUAAAAGUAUAGGGUCGACGAUUGUUGUAUAUUUGGAUUCAAAUGAAUGAUUGUUUUGAUUGUUGGUUUUUAACGUUAUUCUUGUUCCAACUUGAAUUAGGUCAAAUCUAUGAAAUCCUCUAUUUGUUAGAUUCUGAAAUUCAUAUGAUUAACAAUCUAAGAUAGAUGAAAGUUAUCGGUGGGGUAAGCCAAUAGCUCGAUUCUACCUUUCGUGUUUCUUUUAGUUUUAACGGUUGUCAUCAAAUAAUUGGCGGGCACUCUGAUUUGCACCUAAUGGACCAAUUUGGGUGUAGUUAUCAGUAGUUUAGGUAUUGAUGGACCAAGUUAAUACUAAUUCCGAUUACUCAUGAUUUCCUUUCGUGUUUUUCUUUAGUUUUGAAAGAGCACCUUAUCACUCUUUAGAACUUCUCGGUGUUCAUUACCGGUUAGACUAGUUGAGGUUAUUCCAACCUUGAUUGGGAAACUAGUAGUGGUAAUCCGCGUGCAUGAUCGUGCCGUGGCGUCAUACGAGUGAUAAGAGGAAUUGUAUUAUUUAAUCCAAAUUCAACGUUUGUUCGAUCCGACUGUUAUUAAGAAGUUGAGCUUGAUGAAUUGUAUUAAUUAUCUAUUUUAAUUUGUGUUACAAUAAACAUGCAAAUACAGUUAGCUAAAUAAAUAUUUUCGCCUAGUCCUCUAUACUUCUUCAUUUCUCAAUCUUGUAUAUGACGUCUAGCUAGUCUAAUCUCUCAGAUUCAUUAUGAGUUGAUAAAUCCUCGUCAUCAACCUAAAACUGCCAAAUCAAUACUUGAGAGGUUUGUGCUUAUUUCAAUAAGAUAAAUAAAUGAAUAAAAUCUUCACAACCAUAUAGGUAAUUCUUGAGCUCAGACAAUCAGAUUCAACGGCAGUAAUAGAUUUAGAGGGAGCCUCUUUUAGUCCGUUGUCUAACCUAUUUUCGAAUUAAAGGCCAAUAUUAAACUUAUUUUACCCUUAUGUAUUCGGGACUAAUCACACCCCAACAAAACCAAUUUUUGCCUUCCUCCCAUCAUUGUCCUGCGGAAAAUGUCGCCAAGCCGCACUAUUGAUAAGAUAAUGUCCAAAUUACGCCGUGAUCCCAUUCGAGAGGGGUAUGGUGAUUUUUGAAUGGUCAUCAGGAGCUAUAAGCAUGCUGAUUUUGAUGUCUAUGAGUUACAUACUUUUCGAUAUGAAGUUAUGACUCUAGCAUACAGAAAAGGUUAUAAGAAUCUGCAAUUUCAAUUGUCUACUUAAGAAUGAUAAGUAGAUUGAUUCGACUUGUGUUCACUUUGACAGUUUCAACAACUACUAUUUAUUGGACGGGCUUUUUCAUCGACGAAUUUUGUAGAAAAUGAUCGAACAGGACAGAAUGGCUGAUGAUAUUGUCAAACAUGCAGAAAAGAGUUACGAUUUGGAUUCUAUAAUUGAGUAGUUUGGUAGAUGAAAGAAACCAAAGGGAGAGAUGUAGAAGAGAAGAGAAGGAAACGUCUCUGUCAGUUACUCAUCAUCUUUCUUUCUCAUGUUAUGUUUGUGAAUAAAGACGACAGCUGCAGGGAGGAGACAUAUAGGAUCAGAUUAUGAUACUGUGGAGGUGCGAGCGGCUCUCUGAUAUAAUUAUAACACACAGCAGAGCAUAGCUGAGCAGAGCAGC